rnacentral:rRNA from 1 species
AUGAACGCUGGCGGCGUGCCUAACACAUGCAAGUCGAACGUGAAGAGUGGCUUCGGCUGCUCUGAAAGUGGCGAACGGGUGAGUAACACGUAGGUGACCUGCCUCGAAGUGGGGGAUAACCACUGGAAACGGUGGCUAAUACCGCAUGGUCCUGUUGGUGCGGGAGCACUGAUGGGUAAAGGGUUUACUGCUUCGAGAGGGGCCUGCGUCCGAUUAGCUGGUUGGUGGGGUAAUGGCCUACCAAGGCGUAGAUCGGUAGCUGGUCUGAGAGGACGAUCAGCCACACGGGAACUGAGACACGGUCCCGACUCCUACGGGGGGCAGCAGUGAGGAAUAUUGCGCAAUGGGGGAAACCCUGACGCAGCAACGCCGCGUGGAGGAUGAAGGUCUUCGGAUUGUAAACUCCUUUUCUUGGGGAAGAGCAAGGACGGUACCUGAGGAAUAAGUCACGGCUAACUACGU